rnacentral:rRNA from 1 species
CUACGGGAUGCUGCAGUGAGGAAUAUUGGUCAAUGGGCGCAAGCCUGAACCAGCCAUCCCGCGUGCAGGAUGACGGCCCUAUGGGUUGUAAACUGCUUUUGUUUGCCAAGAAUGGCCACUACGUGUAGUGGUUUGACGGUAACAGAUGAAUAAGGACCGGCUAACUCCGUGCCAGCAGCCGCGGUAAUACGGAGGGUCCAAGCGUUAUCCGGAUUCAUUGGGUUUAAAGGGUGCGCAGGCGGGCCUUUAAGUCAGUGGUGAAAUCUUGCCGCUUAACGGUAAAAUUGCCAUUGAUACUGAAGGUCUUGAAUAUAGUUGAGGUAGGCGGAAUGUGUUGUGUAGCGGUGAAAUGCAUAGAUAUGACACAGAACGCCGAUUGCGAAGGCAGCUUACUAAGCUAUGAUUGACGCUGAGGCACGAAAGCGUGGGGAGCGAACAGGAUUAGAUACCCGUGUAGUC